GACGGGGACCCGCACAAGCAGCGGGGCGUGUGGUUUAAUUCGUUGCUACACGAAGAACCUUACCUGGGUUUGACAUAUAGGUUGUAGGGAACUGAAAAGGGACCGACCCUUCGGGGAGCCUAUACAGGUGUUGCAUGGCUGUCGUCAGCUCGUGUCGUGAGAUGUUCGGUUAAGUCCGCUAACGAGCGCAACCCUCGUCGUAUGUUAUAUGUGUCAUACGAGACUGCCGGUAAAAGCCGGAGGAAGGUGAGGAUGAUGUCAAGUCAGCAUGACCUUUAUAUCCAGGGCUACACACACGCUACAAUGGUCUGUACAAUGGGUAGCCAAGCCGCGAGGCGGAGCCAAUCCUGAAAGCAGGCCUCAGUUCAGAUUGCAGUCUGCAACUCGACUGCAUGAAGCCGGAGUUGCUAGUAACCGCAGGUCAGCAAUACUGCGGUGAAUACGUUCCCGGGUCUU
rnacentral:rRNA from 1 species